UAAAUCCCCGGCGCUCCUCAGUCUGGGUGACGUGCCGUCGCCCCCCCAGGCAGCCCAGGCGGCGGCAGCUGCAGCUGCGGCGGCUGCAAAGGCAGAUUCAGAGCGCUGGAACCCAGGGGCGCUGAGGCUGCCUUCGGCGCGCGCCCGACUCCGCUCGCCCCCCCCACCUCCGGGGGGUGGGGGCUAGGAGGCAUCCCCCGCCCCCUCCCCACCGCGAUCAGAAAGAUGAACUGGCAAGAGGCUUUGCUGUUAAGAGCUGGGUUCUUAAAUCAACCCGCCCCACACACAUGUUGCUUUUUCUCACGGUCUGUUUUGCCUGAACCUAUCAGCUGGGAGAUUAAUCGACCACACUGAAAUAUGCCCGGAUGGGAGGAAAACUUGUGAGGGAGGGGUUAAAAUGUAGAUGUUUGAAACAAAUGUGUAUAAAUAAAGGAAUUGUUGAUAACUUAGUUAAAAACAUGGAGACUAGCAGCUAGUUAAAGAAACUCCACAUUAUUCAUUCCUAGAGCUGGGCAUUUCUGUAGGCACUUUAUGUUUCUACUUUGUAAAGCUUGAGCUUUAGCACACCAUAGGCUGCCCAAUUCUGUUUUUAUUACUAAUUUAAGCCUAUACUGGAAACCAAAAAAAAUUUUUUUUGAAACACUUGUCAGAAGCCCUAGCCAUUUUCUGGCUUCAUUCUUUGUUGCUAUCUGUUGAAGACUUUGA